CUGGUGCCCAGAAGUUUCAGCUCACACUUGGCCUGGAACCAGGGGGAACUGAGUGGAGGGGCAGUUUCUCUGUGGACUUGGAAUUUAUAAAUCUGCAGUUCUCCCUCUAGAGGUUGAUAUUAUCACCAGACCAUGGGCCAGCAAGGACCGGGGGACCUGGUCAGGAUUAGUCCUCGGAGGCAGUAGACCAGCACUCACAGAUCCCCAUCUUUGACAGCAUUGGAGAAGCUAGAAUUACAUUAUUUUUCAAAAGGACAAAGUAACAAAAGAGCUGGCUGACUGAUAUGUGCAGUAGUCCAAUAUGGCUGGUUUUCUUAUAAGAAGAGGAAAUGAGGAUACAGAAAACAUAGACAGAGGAAUGGCCGUGUGAUGACACAGGGAGAAGGGAGCCAUCUGCAAACCAAGGAGAGAGGCCUCAGAAGAAACCAACCCUGCUGACACUUCAAUGUUGAACUUCUUCUAGUCUCCAGAACUGUGAGAAAAUAAACUUCUAUUGUUU
rnacentral:lncRNA from 1 species